rnacentral:rRNA from 1 species
GUCUACAGCCAUACUACCCUGAACCAGCCCAAUCCCAUCUCAGAAGCUAAGCAGGGUCAAGCCUGGUGAGUACUUGGAUAGGAGAAUGCACUGCAUAAUAAAUACACUGUACCUG